rnacentral:rRNA from 1 species
GACAGAGGUGCCAAGCGUUAGGCGGAACCACUGGGCUUAAAGCGUGUGUAGGCGGAAUGGUAAGUACCUUGUGAAAUCCCACGGCUCAACCGUGGAACUGCUUGGUAUACUGCUUUUCUUGAGCCACUUAGGGGCUGUCGGAACAAACGGUGGAGCGGUGAAAUGCGUAGAUAUCGUUUGGAACGCCAACGGUGAAAACAGACAGCUGGGAGUGUGCUGACGCUGAGACACGAAAGCCAGGGGAGCGGACGGG